rnacentral:rRNA from 1 species
UACAGAGGUGGCAAGCGUUGUUCGGAAUUACUGGGCGUAAGGGGCGCGUAGGCGGUCUUGCAAGUCCUGUGUGAAAUCCCUCGGCUCAACUGAGGAACUGCACAGGAAACUGCUUGGCUUGAGUUCGGGAGAGGGAAGCGGAAUUCCGGGUGUAGCGGUGAAAUGCGUAGAUAUCCGGAGGAACACCUGUGGCGAAAGCGGCUCUCUGGACCACAACUGACGCUGAGGCGCGAAAGCUAGGGGAGCAAACAGG